UACCAGCACCCCGAGUGGUCGGGACGUUUUAUUGGGCCUAAAGCAUCCGUAGCCGGUUCUACAAGUCUUCCGUUAAAUCCACCUGCUUAACAGAUGGGCUGCGGAAGAUACUAUAGAGCUAGGAGGCGGGAGAGGCAAGCGGUACUCGAUGGGUAGGGGUAAAAUCCGUUGAUCCAUUGAAGACCACCAGUGGCGAAGGCGGCUUGCCAGAACGCGCUCGACGGUGAGGGAUGAAAGCUGGGGGGAGCAAACAGGGAU
rnacentral:rRNA from 1 species